ACAGCUUGAGUACUAAUGAGUUAUUUCCUAAUUUACUCACAGCCAUUGUAUCGUCUUCUUAAUAAUCUGCCGGUCAAACUUCAUUAAACUGCUAUAGAUCAACUACAUCACCAUGUAACUCGGCAUACAUCUCUCUCUCUCUCUCAUCUCUUCACCCCAUUCACUCUCUCUUUAAUCUUUCAUUUUUACAGAUAGUGUUGCUGAUGAAGGUUCUCUUUCAUCCUCCUCUCUGAAUUCAUUUAGUUUGAGAAGAGAAGAUACUGAUGAGCAGCAGAAAGAAUCAAAGAUGAGGAGAAACACCGCAUCUGUCAGUUCUGUUCCCAGUGCAGCACCAUGGACAGCUCCACAACACUUAACAGGCAGUGAGGUGUCAGACACAAAACAGAAACAGGACUGUUGGUUCACACGUGGCAUCAAUUCAUGAAAAACACCUUCCAGAGGAAACUGUGCAGAAAAGUCACAUCUGUUGCUGUUGAGGCUUCACUGAGCGACAUCCAAACACAGACAAACAAAUACACAGAUGUUCCAUGCAGAUCGGUAAUCAAGGCGUGAUGAAUCAUCUCUCUGAUCUCUGUAACCUCUUGGCUUCUGCAGUCUGGAUCAUGGCAGAAGAUUAAGAUUAAGAAACACCAAAGGUGAAAAGUGAAGACUAAGACAGCUUGAUCAAAAACUCAGACGUAUUCCAGAGAGAGAGAGAGAGAGAAAGAAAGAGAGAGCCUAAGUGCAGAGACUCUUUGAUAUCAGAGCUGGGUAAUCCACCUUUUUGAUUCCUCUGUCAUGUCUUCAUCCCUCCACCAAAGUGCCCUUUCAUUAACCUUUGACUCCCAUUGCCAUGGCGUUUGAAGUACUUGGUCUUAAGUGGGCUUAUCACUGAAGUCAUUGUUUUUCUUUUCUCUCGCACGCUCUCUCUGACCUGUUUUUUUUUUCUGAAAGUAUCACUUUCUCAGAGGUCUGUUAAAAGGCACAGGUUAAGAAAACUCUCAUGACAUCUCUCUAUUAUGUAACUAUUCUCCAACUCUUCAUUAGCAAACAUACGAUAAUGGGUGUUGUUACCCAGCUAUUAAUUGAAACAACACAGCAUUUGGGUUGAAAUGAACCCAACUGCUGGGUUCGUCCAUAUUUGACCCAACUAUGUCU